rnacentral:rRNA from 1 species
UACGGAAGGGGCAAGCGUUGUUCGGAAUUACUGGGCGUAAAGGGCUCGUAGGCGGCCAACUAAGUCACACGUGAAAUCCCUCGGCUCAACCGGGGAACUGCGUGUGAGACUGGAUGGCUUGAGUUUGGGAGAGGAAUGCGGAAUUCCAGGUGUAGCGGUGAAAUGCGUAGAUAUCUGGAGGAACACCGGUGGCGAAGGCGGCAUUCUGGACCAAUACUGACGCUGAGGAGCGAAAGCCAGGGGAGCAAACGGG